GACUAAUAGAUUUUCAUACGGAUUAACAAAAUUUCUGUCUAGUCAGUCCGGUCAAACUAAUAAAAAGUUUUGCUUAAAAAAUGUGUAAAUUAACGAUGUGUGAUUGUCGACAUUUUAAUGGAAAACCCUGACUGUAUUUUUAUUAUCUAGCAUAUGAUACAUUGCAGUGAUUAUAGAGUUACCGAGCAAAACAACAGAGGUAUGCAGGAUAUUAUGGGUGACUUGAUUAUUUCUUUGCCUUAAGGGGAUGUCCGAGAAAAUUAAUAGGUUACAAGCGCAUGUGUUCACAACAACAGCUUCGAAAGGGACUUUAUGUGUUUUUAAAAAAUAUAGGUGAAACGAAUCUCCUGUGAGUUGUUUAAUUUAAAUGAAUUGUUUUACGUUAAAUAAUUUGUGAUAAAUUGCUUAUUAUUUUAAACAGAUUUUUAAAGAACUUAAACAAUGAAAAGAACAAGGUAGCUCAUAGCCUGGGUCUAAUUUGCAUAGAUCUAUUUAUAACAUCUGUAAUGGCGGCAUACACCUAGUACACAGAGAUAGUGAAUACGCAGCUCAUUGCUAUGUACUGCAUAGCACAAUACAACUAAACAUGUGCAACACCUGUAAGAAAAACAUUAUAGUGUAUAUUAUGCACCCCUUUCUUACAAAUGCUAUUUAAAAACUCCAUACUAUAUAUAAGGCAAAUACGGUAAUGCUUUUUAAUUUAUUUCUGACGGGCACAUAAAAUUGCCUGCGGACUAGUUAAAAUGAACAGGCACUAGUCCCGCUGGACUAAUGCAUCAAACAGUUAGUGUCGAACCCUGUGUUUGUCAGAUCCCGCGCUCUUGUAUUUAAAUAAAACUUUGCAAAUAAUAUUCUAAUUUUUGUUGCAAUGUUAUAUUUUAAAUGCAAUAAACAGAUAUUUCCUGUCUAUGCAAGAUAAAGGAAGGAGAGAGUCGAUUCUUUCAAGAAAGGAAUGGAUCUGUAUCAAAGGAAACAAGGAAAAUGGAAGUUAUACUAUAGACAGGCUGUCAGGCUGUAUUUAAACAAAAGACCUCCUGGGAUGAGGAGAAAAAGAAACAAGUAGAACCUGUAUUUCUUGUCGAGUACUUGAUGAUGUCAUCAGAAUAUGAAAAUGAUUGGGAAGAUGACACAAUAUAUGAAAUCACAUCUCUAAAGUGGCGCUCUGACGAAUGUUUAAUUGGACACCAAAAGUUCUGCUCUGAAAUCCAAAUGUUCAAAAAGGCAAAGUAUAAGACGUAUAAUGACCAACAAUGAAUCAUCUAGAGACAAACCAGAAAAUAUAUCAAAUGAACAGAAAUGGGCCAUUUGAGAUUUUUAAAAGAUCUCUGCAACUGUCAUGUAUAAUAAGCUCACCUGAGCUGAAAGUUAUUAUAUGGUUUUAAUGAUAUGCAAGCAUUUUGAUAUAUACAUUGUUGAUUGUAUAAAAUUGUUAACUCCGUCCCAUGGACAAUUUUUGUUCCUCGCAAGAGGUUCAUUCAUAUUUUGAUGUAGGUUUAUUAUCCAUGUAUAAAGAGUUGUUUAACACUUCUUGAGAACUGCAAAGCUCAAUAUGUGAUAUGACUGUAAAAUCAUUGCAAAAUAGCUUGAUGUAUUGUUGUAGUAUGAUGAACCUAAAAAUAUGCUGGGUAUUUUUUUAAAUACAGGAUCUGAUAUUACUUGUUAAACUCAUACUGUUAUGUAAAAGAAUAUUCAUUGUGUAUUUUUUUAUUGUUGAAUUUUUUUUAUGCUGAUCAAUUAUAGAUUAAAUUUGGCCAUUAUGAUUUUCAAUUUUUGUCAUAUUGGCAUGUAACCAAGUCAUACUUUUUUUAUCUCAAUUUAUUUACAAAUAUGUUUAAGUUUAUUUCCAGUAAUUAGUGCAUACAUCUCUAUAGCAUAAUAGAACUGAAGACAAUAGGAAGUUAUUUAUUUUUAAAGGGAGCUCUGUUGGCAGUUAGUUGCAGAUCUUGAUACCCAAGUAAGAGAAAGGUGGCGUCUCUGACCGAUCCUUUUGCUCUUUCUUGUGGGCGAGUGAGGCUUCCCUGUCAAAGGCUUGUAUAAGUUUAAAAUCAUAGAUCAAAUUAUAAACUAAACACAUAUAUGAGUGAUAUAAAGUGGUUAUUUUGAUGAAUAUUUUAUCAUAAUUUGUUUCUUUUGUUUUAAGUAAAGAGUUAAAGACUAGAUCUUUGAUAAUUUAUUGAGUAAAGAGUAGUUUUUAUGGACAUCUAGGCAGGACUUUUUGUAUGUAUAUCUUUCAGAGCUUGUUCCUGAAACUUGGGCGUAGACUAGACAAUUUACGGAAAAAAUACAAAUUUUAUCUCAAGUUAUUUUAUUCUACAUAUUUGUACAAGUUUCACUUAUAUAAUUUAUUAGCUUAAUCAGCCCUAUAGUGAACAAAAUUUGUUGUUAAAAAUAUACAGGAGACAAUGCAAGAGUAUUUUGAAAGGGCUUUGCUGGCAGUAAGUUGCAGAUCUUGAUACCCAAGUAAGAGAAAGGUGGUGUCUCUGACCGAUCCUUUUGCUCUUGCUUGUGGGCGAGUGAGGCUUCCCUGUCAGUUUCUUACAGAUGCAAGGAAUAAACAAACAAGACUUGAUAAGACAUUUCUGAGUAAAAUAAUGGGGAACUGUUUUCUUUUUAUGAUAAGUAAGAUUGAGUUGAAUAUUUAUAGUGUCAUAACUAUAUUUUACAUUCUGUACAUGCAUAUGCCAGGUCUUAUUUCAGACCUUAAUAGGAUAGACUAGAAGAAUUUUUAUUGAAAGUGAAUUUUAAGCAGGAGACAAUGAAAGAGUAUUUUAAAGGGCUUUGCUGGCAGUAAGUUGCAGAUCUUGAUACCCAAGUAAGAGAAAGGUGGUGUCUCAGACCGAUCCUUUUGCUCUUGCUUGUGGGCGAGUGAGGCUUCCCUGUCAGUUUCUUACAGAUGCAAGGAAUAAACAAACAAGACUUGAUAAGACAUUUCUGAGUAAAAUAAUGGGGAACUGUUUUCUUUUUAUGAUAAGUAAGAUUGAGUUGAAUAUUUAUAGUGUCAUAACUAUAUUUUACAUUCUGUACAUGCAUAUGCCAGGUCUUAUUUCAGACCUUAAUAGGAUAGACUAGAAGAAUUUUUAUUGAAAGUGAAUUUUAAGCAGGAGACAAUGAAAGAGUAUUUUAAAGGGCUUUGCUGGCAGUAAGUUGCAGAUCUUGAUACCCAAGUAAGAGAAAGGUGGUGUCUCAGACCGAUCCUUUUGCUCUUGCUUGUGGGCGAGUGAGGCUUCCCUGUCAGUUUCUUACAGAUGCAAGGAAUAAACAAACAAGACUUGAUAAGACAUUUCUGAGUAAAAUAAUGGGGAACUGUUUUCUUUUUAUGAUAAGUAAGAUUGAGUUGAAUAUUUAUAGUGUCAUAACUUUUUAAAAUUUUGUACAUGCAUAUGCUUGAUCUUAUUCCAGACCUUAUUAGGAUAGACUAGAAGAAUUUUAUUGAAUUUCCAUGAUUAAAAUUUACCAUUUCGCCAAAUUUUGAUAAUCAAUUAUUGUUUGCAUAUGAAGUGUGUGUAAAUUAAAAUUACUUUAUAUACGUUCCAAAAUGUUAACUGAAUAGUCUGGUCAUUAGAAUAUGUAUUUUUCUUUUCUGUAUAAUAAAUUUUUAAUAUAAUGUAAAACCUAGGGAAUUUUUUUUAAAAUCACAUGAAGUGUUUAAAAUUAGAGAUGCACAUGUACAUCCUAUUAUUGAACAAUUUGUUUAUUCAAUUUAGUAUAAUUUGGUAUUUGUAUGCAUCAUAUAUAUAAAUAUAUAGGGUUUUUUCAAUGCUAUUACAUAUAAUAUGAUUGUUAAUAUAUAUCUUCUCUGAAGUGGUUUUCAUGGGAACUCUUAUCUAUUUGCAGUUAUGAACUAUAGAGUAUGUAUGUAGUAUGUAUGUUUCUAUGAAAACAUGCUAUUUUCAAAAUACAUGUACUAGGAAAGAGAAUUUGUGUGUGCGUGUGUAUGUAUUUUAGUGACCAGUAAAUAAGUAAAAAAAAAAUUGAUUACUUCAGUAUUGUCAACUUUCAACAAUUGCUUUUCUUUAUCCACAUGCAUUAUAUAGAAAAAAUGACUUUGUGUUGUAAUUUAUGUUGUAUAUGAAAAUACGCAAGUUAAGCUAGAAUUUGUUAUUUGCAGACCAUGCAGCAAUUUUUAUUGGUCUGUUUCAGUUGUGGUUUUUUUCCUACUAGUCUAUAUAGAUUCCAUUAUUUCCAUUUAAUGUGUAUUAGCCUGCAUUUGCUUAAGUCAAAUGUGCAUUUCACAAUUCCAAAUUUGGACAUUUUACCUAAGUAUUUUUUAAGAACUAUAUCAGAAAUUGUAAUGGCAUCUAUUCCAUAUGUAUCUGAUCAUGACGUACGUAUUGUAAUUUUCUAAAUUGUGACUUUUAUGCUUAAAACUUUGAAAUGUUUUGCUCUGUAAGAAUACAUGUAUUUAUUUUUUUACAUCAUUGAGACUUUAACAUGCAAUAAAAUCGAAUCUUAAGUGGA